UACGUAGGGUGCGAGCGUUAAUCGGAAUUACUGGGCGUAAAGCGUGCGCAGGCGGUUUUGUAAGCCAGAUGUGAAAUCCCCCGGGCUUAACCUGGGAAUGGCAUUUGGGACUGCAAGGCUGGAGUUUGGCAGAGGAGACUGGAAUUCCUGGUGUAGCAGUGAAAUGCGUAGAUAUCAGGAGGAAUACCGAUGGGCGAAGGCAGGUCUCUGGGCUAUAACUGACGCUCAUGCACGAAAGCGUGGGGAGCAAACAGG
rnacentral:rRNA from 1 species